rnacentral:tRNA from 6 species
GCUCGGUUCGUCUAGUGGCCUAGGACACCGCCCUCUCACGGCGGGAACAGGGGUUCGACUCCCCUACCGGGUACCA